rnacentral:rRNA from 1 species
UACGUAGGGGGCGAGCGUUGUCCGGAGUUACUGGGCGUAAGGGCAUGCAGGCGGUCCGACACGUUUUGUGUGACAGCGGGUGGCUUAACUACCCGAGGAUACGAAAGACGGUUGGACUUGAGGACUCGAGAGGGACACGGAAUUCCGGGUGGAGUGGUGAAAUGCGUAGAGAUCCGGAGGAACACCGAAGGCGAAGGCAGUGUCCUGGCGAGUGACUGACGCUGAGGUGCGAAAGCCAGGGGAGCGAACGGGG